GGCACGAACGUAGAGGUCAGGCUAGGGCUGACGAUGCUGGCUAAGCGGGGGCGCACGUCUGGGAAGUCGUCGUCGUAGUCACCGAUGUCCGUGACCUUCCAGAGCCUCUGGUAACCACUGUUCUACUCAAUACUUCUAUGAGGUGAACUUCUUUGGAUUCCACAUAUGAUCAAGAUCAUGAGGAAGGAGGAGCAAGUCUUCUUUGUCAUGCUAUUAAGAAAAUACCCAGAGUCACAGCACCAUGAUCUCCUUGUGAAGCAGAACAAGUAAUAUAAAACUGAUCUAAAGAGGCCUCCCCUCUACUCUUAUCUGUCUGGUCGAGUCAUUUGGGUCCAAGUGGGCACCAUUGUGGGAGGGUGGGAGGACUCAUCACUGGGGGCCCAGGCAUCAUUGGCAUGUGGCCUCCUGUGUUAGUUUGUUCUCAUGCUGCAAAUAAAGACAACUUGAGACUGGAUAAUUU
rnacentral:lncRNA from 10 species